GGGAAAGUUCUUUGGGUGCCACUCCCUGCAACUUUCAAGGGUGGGGCCGGGAAGAGAUCCCCCCACCCCCGCACGUCGCCUUUCUCGGGAACGGCUUCCUGACGUCGGUGGAUCAAACCGGUGCCCCCUGCAGUGGAAGCAUGGAUUCUUAACCACCGUACUGCCAGCACUGAACGCAUCUGGAGCUCUUCCCUUUCUUGAUUGUGAGCCCCUCCAGGACAGGAACUGGUCCACACUCACCUUCAUCACCUCAUUUGCUGUCUGUCACC